UAUAUUGCUAAACAUCUGACCGACUCUCUCUGUCUCUCUUUGUUUUCACAGCCAAGUCAAUUAUGUAAUUUUCAGUUUCGUUUGAAAAACUUAUUUCAACACUUUUAGGGCAUAAAAUUGAAACGUUUUGACGCACGCCACACCAGAAUUCACCGAAUUCCGUUCAAUACCCGAGACAAUUACACUGGCGCAACCCGAAAAAUCACGGACGACGGCGGCGACGGGAGAGGAGAGGCAAUGCGACGCGUCGCGGGCCGAUGCGAUUUGUUAAUGCAGCUAUAUUUAGACGAUCGCUUUAGUAUUCUGACCGGACAAACGCAGAAUAUGGGACAGGUACCAGUACUGCAGAUGUGAUUUAUUAAGCAUACGCCACGUUUACCCCCAGAUUUACGCACUACACAACGUAUACGUUCGAUCUCUUUGUGUGUGGGUAUAUAUAUAGAACUUUCGUAUGGCCGAACAGGAAUGCUGAUGCUGCGGAUAGCCGGAUGGGCAACGGAUAUGUUAGUGCGCCGAUCGUCAAAGUGGAACUGUCCGCUCAUUUCGGUGGGCCAGAGACACGCCAUACCCCAUAGACCCCUAGAGAACGUUGAGCAAUGGUACCAUAGGAGAGGCACAGCACUAGCGCUCGUGGCGCAGUCGCCGGUGGAACGCUGCUCAAUCUCUGUAUCUCUCUCUGGGUCUCUGCUCAAUAGAGCGUUUGAAGGAGAAAUCAUAUGUUAAUGCGCACAAUUCUGGCAUUAUGCAGACCAGGCACACACUAUGACGGGAUACGGGCAAGGUCUGAGUGAAUCACCAACGGCAAGUGCACAGGUAGACAAGCAGAACAGCUAGAUUUAUAAGUGGAAUGACUUACCAUUCGAAUUUGAAGGGCAACAAUUCGGACUCCUCAUCCUCAUCGCAGUCGAUUUUCACAAAGAAUGUAGCCCGUUCGUUAGGUAUGCAGCGGAUCAAAGAGCUGGAAUUAUCGCUGAACGUGAUGCGGGGUGGUGGUCUGCCCUGGACUACAGCUUGUUGCUGGCCAGGAGGUUCUAUCAAAGAGAAUGGAGAGCAUCAAUUAUGCGCGCAUGCCAUGACUAAUCGAAAUGUCAAAGAUUCCCCUCCCAAAGAGCAGAACAUAAAUUGUAUGCCGGCAACAAGGCAUUGUAAGCUACCAGAAACGACUGAGAGAUACCCUAAAAUGUGAAACUUUUCCUUUAAAUUCUACGGGAACAGCCUCUGUGAAGUUCCCUGUCUAAGCUCGGUACAUCUGAGGUUGUCACCUUUCAAUGUAUUAGAUAUUGACCGCUUACCCUCGGAAUACAUCGAGUAUUCAGAAUUGGCACUAAAAAUAGUUUCAAAUAUUAUUCAUACACGCAAGACAAGAACUAUUCUCGAGCAUGUCGAAUCUUUCCUUUCCUUUCCUUUCCGUUCCGCCUGAGAAAGCAUAAUCAAAUGUGAUUCCUAAAUACCAUUGAAAUAUUAAGGAACAUCUCGAUCUUGGCUACGAAUGACACUCGGUCAGAAUGGCCAGCAGCCGCAGCAGCAGCAGCAGUAGC